CGGAAAUUCCGGCCCUUGCGGCUCUCCGAAGCUCCUCUGAGGCGAUGGGCUUGCUUUCUGGGUCCCAGAAGCUUGGUUAGGAGUUGGCACAGGCGCCCCGGCCUCGGCUGACCCCGGCCCCGGCUGACCCCGGCCCCGGCUGACCCCGGCCCCUGAGACGUGGGUGGAUUGCUGGCAGGGAUCCGACGUGCAGAUGGCAGCCACCCCCCCUGGAGUGGAAUCAACUUGGAGUACGUCUCAAGGGCAUAGAAAUCAAGUAGGAAGUAUAGGGAUACCAUUCUUUCUCUUGGAUUUCUUCUGGGGAACUCAGUGUCAAAUAUGCAUGGUGUGCCUACCCCCUAGAGCCAAAGUAGAAUACAGAGGGAAGUAUUGAUUGUGAUGCUAUUUCACAACUAGACUCAUACUGCAAGAAAGAGAAAAUGGUCAAAAUUGCCUUAUGUUCAGACUUUCUUUGCACUGAGAAUUAAUCCUU
rnacentral:lncRNA from 1 species